UACGGGGGAUCCAAGCGUUAUCCGGAAUCAUUGGGUUUAAAGGGUCCGUAGGCGGUUUGGUAAGUCAGUGGUGAAAGCCCAUCGCUCAACGGUGGAACGGCCAUUGAUACUGCCAGACUUGAAUUAUUAGGAAGUAACUAGAAUAUGUAGUGUAGCGGUGAAAUGCUUAGAGAUUACAUGGAAUACCAAUUGCGAAGGCAGGUUACUACUAAUGGAUUGACGCUGAUGGACGAAAGCGUGGGUAGCGAACAGG
rnacentral:rRNA from 1 species